UACGUAGGGGGCAAGCGUUGUCCGGAAUCAUUGGGCGGAAAGAGCGUGUAGGUGGCUCGGUAAGUCCGCUGUGAAAGUCCAGGGCUCAACCCUGGAAAGCCGGUGGAAACUGUCGAGCUCGAGUCCGGAAGAGGCGAGUGGAAUUCCUGGUGUAGCGGUGAAAUGCGCAGAUAUCAGGAGGAACACCAAUGGCGAAGGCAGCUCGCUGGGACGGUACUGACACUGAGACGCGAAAGCGUGGGGAGCAAACAGG
rnacentral:rRNA from 1 species